UUUUCCUUCCCCCUCCCCAUCGAUCAAAAUAGCCCAAGUAGAAGAAGAAAUCUCUUCUUCUAAUUCAAGCCUUCCCCAUUAAAUCUCUUCCUAUCUUCUUCCUUAAUUUCGAAAUUUGUAGUGUGGUAAAGUUCAAGAACUCUUUUCAUUUCAAUAAAAGAGGUUCUCCAAAAAGAAGUUGGGUUGCAAAUAUCCACAAAGUUCUUCAAAUUUUGAAAAGAUCCUAAGGUAGCUCAUGAUCCGAAUCUGAGGAGCAAAGUUGAACCAAGUCCGGGGAAAGCCGAGGAAUCGAGCCGUAUGGAAUUUAUGUGGAUUUAAUUAACUUCCGUUUUGGUACUUAAAUCUUUUUAGUGGAUUGUAAUCCGUAGUACUUGGAUAUGUUAUCGGGAAAUGAUUUUUAAUCCUCAUGUAUAAUAUAAUGUUUUCCGAUUAUUCUUAUUCAUUUCUAAUGUUGAUUUCUUAA